rnacentral:tRNA from 1 species
GGGCCUGUAGCUCAGAGGAUUAGAGCACGUGGCUACGAACCACGGUGACGGGGGUUCAAAUCCCUCCUCGCCCA